UACGUAGGCAGCAAGCGUUGUUCGGAAUUACUGGGCGUAAAGAGUGUGUAGGCGGUGCUCUAAGUUCGUUGUGAAAUCUCCCGGCUUAACUGGGAGGGUGCGGCGGAAACUGGAGUGCUUGAGCGCGGGAGAGGAAAGCGGAAUUCCUGGUGUAGCGGUGAAAUGCGUAGAUAUUACCAGGAACACCAAUGGCGAAGGCAGCUUGCUGGGCCGACCCUGACGCUGGAGGUACGA
rnacentral:rRNA from 1 species